AUAACCCCGGGAAACUGGGGAUAAUUCCGGAUAACGCACAUAUGCUGGAAUGCUUUAUGCGUGAAAUGGAUUCGUCUGCCCAAGGAUGGGUCUGCGGCCUAUCAGGUAGUAGUGGGUGUAAUGUACCUACUAGCCUACGACGGGUACGGGUUGUGAGAGCAAGAGCCCGGAGAUGGAUUCUGAGACAUGAAUCCAGGCCCUACGGGGCGCAGCAGGCGCGAAAACUUUACAAUGCGGGAAACCGUGAUAAGGGGACACCGAGUGCCAGCAUCCUAUGCUGGCUGUCCAGGUGUGCAAAAUACACCUGUUAGCAAGGGCCGGGCAAGACCGGUGCCAGCCGCCGCGGUAACACCGGCGGCCCGAGUGGUGAUCGUGAUUAUUGGGUCUAAAGGGUCCGUAGCCGGUUUGGUCAGUCCUCCGGGAAAUCUGACAGCUUAACUGUUAGGCUUUCGGAGGAUACUGCCAGACUUGGAACCGGGAGAGGUAAGAGGUACUACAGGGGUAGGAGUGAAAUCUUGUAAUCCCUGUGGGACCACCUGUGGCGAAGGCGUCUUACCAGAACGGGUUCGACGGUGAGGGACGAAAGCUGGGGGCACGAACCGGAUUAGAUACCCGGGUAGUCCCAGCCGUAAACGAUGCUCGCUAGGUGUCAGGCAUGGCGCGACCGUGUCUGGUGCCGCAGGGAAGCCGUGAAGCGAGCCACCUGGGAAGUACGGCCGCAAGGCUGAA
rnacentral:rRNA from 1 species